UUAGGUUGGUGCAAAAGUAAUUGCGGUUUUUGCAAUUACUUUUAAUGGCAAAAACUGUAAUUACUUUCAUACCAACCUA
ensembl:miRNA